GAGAAAGUUACUAAGAGCGUAUGGGGGAUGCCUAGGCUCUCAGAGGCGAAGAAGGACGUGAUAAGCUGCGAUAAGCCACGGGGAUCAGCACAUAUGAAUUGAUCCGUGGAUUUCCGAAUGGGGCAACCCGGCUACUUGAAGAGUAGCCACCGAAAGGGGCAAACCC
rnacentral:rRNA from 1 species